AAGAAAGGAGGCAACGUGCCCACCUUCACCUGGCGGCUGUGCUCGCUGACAGACCCUUGAGCAAGCGGAGGUGGAGGGAGGGGGUGGCCUGGUGGUGACCCCCAUCUUCCUGCAGGUCAUCGACAUCCUGAGGGGGAAAGCCACGCGUCCUGCGCCUGCGUCACAGCCAGAGCCCUCCCCUGACCGGAGUGCCACCACCUCCCCCGAGAGCAGCAGCCGCCUCAGCUCCAAUGGUCUUCUCUCUGCAUCACCAUCCUCCUCGCCUUCCCAGUCUCCUCCCAAGGAUCCCCUUGGAUUUCCCAUGGCUCCCCCCAAUUUCUUCCUCUCUCCCUCAUCUCCACCUGCCUUCCUGCCCUUUGUCGGGGUCCUCCAAGCCCCUGGCCGGCCGGUGCCUCCCCCGCCAGCUCCAGGAGGCAGCUGAGAGAAAUGGGGGGGCAGAUCUUGGACUCAUGAGGAGGGACCUCCCUGCCCUUGUGGCGUCAGCCCUCCUGGAAACUGUGAAGAUCUCACUCUGCCCCCCCCCCCAUCUUCAAACCAGGAUUUGCACAUGCAUUUGCCCCCUCUUUUGAGCACAGAUAUCCCCCCACCUCGUCUUCCGUCUUCCGCCCAGGACUCUUCCCCCUGCUCUCCUCAGGCACCAAUCUCCUGUCUGGAAUCCCACUCAAUCAUGUAUUUCCUUCUCCUCUCUCAGAGCUGGUGGAACCAGGGAACAGCUGCUCCCUCUGCCCUCCGCCCAUGAGGAGGGAGAGACGGGCUGCAGCAGGCACUUAUAACGAUGUAAAUUAUUAGGCAUUUUUGGUUGGAUUUCUUUUGUAAUAAACUAUUUUUGUAACAUA